rnacentral:tRNA from 1 species
UGCCGCGUGGCCUAAUGAAUAAGGGGUCUGACUUCGAAUCAUGAAGUUGUGUGUUCGAGUCCCACCGUGGUCA